GGAAACUCAUGUUUAUGUGGCAUUUAGUUUGUAAAACAGCUUGUUUUACCUCUGCUUUCUUCUUCAUUUGUGAACUUUCUCACAGAGGACAGUUAAGAUAAUAUGAUAUAUAUCAAUAUUCAGACUAAUGCUGCUGUGUUGUUUGUCCCAGUGUUUGGAGCAGUAUGUUCAGCUGGCUAUCAUGGAGGAUGGGGGGGCCCCCAUCACCUGCCCAGAUAUGGCCUGCCAAAAGGCUGGAGUGCUACUUGACUCUGAGAUAGCUAGCUUGGCCGCGGACGAUCAGGUGGAGCUGUAUCAGCGUCUGAAGUUUGAGAGAGAGGGGAAUGAUCUCGAGUGAAGCAGGAAGUAUUAGGAGAGGAUGGACAGCUACAGUUAUUAUGCCAGGACGGACUGAGGGAGACUAGCAAACCUUGGCCGACUCUCUUCCUCUGAUGUAAACGGCCCUGCACAGAGCAAAACCUGCCUUCAUCCACCCCAACACAAAUGCCUCGAUAGGGUGGGUGCUCUGCAAAAGGUGGAGAGCGGAGGGAGAAGGGCGGAGGAUGAGGAGGAGGAGGAGGGGGAUCCAGGGACGAUAUGAAGCUACCAUCCCAACCUGAAUGAAAGAUGGCUCCUGGAGUUUGAUAAAGUCGCACCAGAAGAUAGUG